UACGGAGGGUGCGAGCGUUGUCCGAAAUCACUGGGCGUAAAGGGCGCGUAGGCGGCUUUGCAAGGGGGCGGUGAAAGCCCGGGGCUCAACCCCGGGUCAGCCGAACCGACUGUGAGGCUGGACCACACUAGGGGCUCGUGGAAUUCCGGGUGUAGCGGUGGAAUGCGUAGAUAUCGGGAGGAACACCAGUGGCGAAGGCGAUCAUCUGGGGUUGUUCUGACACUGAGGAGCGAAAGCUAGGGGAGCAAACGGG
rnacentral:rRNA from 1 species